AUAAAACCACCUAUGUAAGUCACCACAAGUAACUGGACACAGACUUGUGUGGACAUUUUGGUUGAGUAAAGCAGUGGGUCACAGAUUGCCACAAAGCGAUCAUAUGCCAUGGCAGCCAGAAGGAAGCACUCAGCUGUCCCGAAGAACACAGUUGAGCCAAGCUGGAUGCCACAUCCAAGGAUAAGAAACUGAAAAGGAUCUCUAGAAGAAGCCCACAGAAUCCAUGAACCCCAGUAACAAUUUUUGGCAAGCCAACCAGAAGAUCCUGAUUGGAGAAAAAGCAAGAUGAAGAACAGUUUUUUAGGACAAUCUGGGAAGAUAUUUGGGCCCACUCUCUGGUACAAUGAUCCUCAUAAUAGAAUAAUUCUCCACCUCACUCAGAC